UGAUGAGACGCCUAAUGAAAGUGGUUUAAUCGCCGGCAAACGAAAACCCGCGAUUUCCCGUAAAUCCCGGGCUUGGCCCGUAUAGUCGAAUGUAUACAAAGAAAAGUACCCUGUGAGUAAACUCAUUUCCAAAACGAUUUUUUAAAUUAUCUUUUCAGCACUAAAACGCAUGAGACUUGUAGUUUUCAAAAAUGAUUUCAUUUUUGAUGAGACGCUGAAUAAAAGAAGUUUAAUCGCCGGCAAACGAAAACCCGCCAUUUCCCGUAAACCCCGGAUUCGGUCCGUAUAAUCAAAAGUAUACAAAGAAAGUACCCAGGGAGUAAACUCAUUUCCCGAACGACUUUUUAAAUUAUUUUUUCACCACUAAAACGCAUGAGACUUGUAGUUUUCAAAAAUGUUUUCAUUUUUGAUGAGACGCUGAAUGAAAGAAGUUUAAUC